rnacentral:rRNA from 1 species
CCUACGGGAGGCAGCAGUAGGGAAUCUUCCACAAUGGACGAAAGUCUGAUGGAGCAACGCCGCGUGAGUGAAGAAGGUCUUCGGAUCGUAAAGCUCUGUUGUUGGUGAAGAAGGAUAGAGGCAGUAACUGGUCUUUAUUUGACGGUAAUCAACCAGAAAGUCACGGCUAACUACGUGCCAGCAGCCGCGGUAAU